rnacentral:rRNA from 1 species
CUUUAAUUGAAGAGUUUGAUCAUGGCUCAGAUUGAACGCUGGCGGCAGGCCUAACACAUGCAAGUCGAGCGGCAGCACAGAGGAACUUGUUCCUUGGGUGGCGAGCGGCGGACGGGUGAGUA